GCCAGCGUAGCUCAGUGGUAGAGCAGCGGUUUCGUAAACCGCGGGUCGUAGGUUCAAAUCCUAUCGCUGGCUCCA
rnacentral:tRNA from 5 species